rnacentral:rRNA from 1 species
UACGUAGGUGGCAAGCGUUGUCCGGAUUUACUGGGCGUAAAGAGCGCGCAGGCGGUCGUUCAAGUCGCGUGUGAAAGCCCCCGGCUCAACUGGGGAGGGUCACGCGAUACUGAUCGACUCGAAGGCAGGAGAGGGUAGUGGAAUUCCCGGUGUAGUGGUGAAAUGCGUAGAUAUCGGGAGGAACACCAGUGGCGAAGGCGACUACCUGGCCUGUUCUUGACGCUGAGGGACGAAAGCUAGGGGAGCGAACGGG